rnacentral:snRNA from 1 species
GUGCUCACUUCAGCAGCAUAUAUACUAAAAUUGGAAUGACACAGAGAAAACUAACAUGGCCCCUGCACAAGGAUAACAUGCAAACUAAUGAAGCAUUCCAUAUUAAA